rnacentral:rRNA from 1 species
GUCCUAGCUGUAAACGGUGCACGUUUGCUGUAAAAGGAAUCGACCCCUUUUGUGGCGAAGCUAACGCGUUAAACGUGCCGCCUGGGAAGUACGGUCGCAAGAUUAAAACUCAAAGAAAUUGACGGGGGCCUGCACAAGCGGUGGAGUAUGUGGCUUAAUUCGAUGCAACGCGAAGAACCUUACCUGGCCUUGACAUGCAAGUAGUAGAACCCUGAAAGGGGGACGAGGUAGCAAUACCAGCUUGCACAGGUGCUGCAUGGCUGUCGU